rnacentral:rRNA from 1 species
GGCACGGGUGCGUAACGCGUAUACAAUCACCUUUGCUGAGGAAUAGCCCAGAGAAAUUUGGAUUAAUGCCUCAUAGUAUGUUGACUUCGCAUGGAGAUAACAUUAAAGGUUACGGCAAAAGAUGAGUAUGCGUCCUAUUAGUUAGUUGGUGUGGUAACGGCACACCAAGACAGCGAUAGGUAGGGGCCCGUGAGAGGGGGAUCCCCCCACACCUGGUACUGAGACACGGACCAG